ACUUUUCUGCCGGGUUCGUCACCGAUUAUCGUUGAUUGAGCCAACGCCGUUACAAAGGGAGGCCGACGCCGCAGGCAAGUGCGUUUCUUCAUCGUUAAGAAACGCCAGAGACAGCGGUGAAAAGAAGGCCACCCACCUGUUCACACAGGUUCAAUUACGGCUUCGGAACGGCUCGGCGGUUUUCCC
rnacentral:other from 1 species